rnacentral:rRNA from 1 species
GACGGAGGGGGCUAGCGUUGUUCGGAAUUACUGGGCGUAAAGCGCACGUAGGCGGCAUAGCAAGUUGGGGGUGAAAGCCCAGAGCUCAACUCUGGAAAUGCCUUCAAAACUGCUAAGCUAGAGUUCGGAAGAGGAGAGUGGAAUACCCAGUGUAGAGGUGGAAUUCGUAGAUAUUGGGUAGAACACCAGUGGCGAAGGCGGCUCUCUGGUCCGAUACUGACGCUGAGGUGCGAAAGCGUGGGGAGCAAACAGG